rnacentral:rRNA from 1 species
AACGUACGCUGGCGGCACGCCUAACACAUGCAAGUCGAACGAAGUAGCAAUACUUAGUGGCAGACGGGUGAGUAACAUGUAGGUAUCUGCCCUUUGGCCUGGAAUAACACGAGGAAACUUGUGCUAAUACCGGAUAAGUCUUUACGGAGAAAGCUUUAUGCACCAUUGGAUGAGCCUGCACUUGAUUAGUUUGUUGGUGGGGUAAUGGCGUACCAAGACUGUGAUCAAUAGCUGAUUUGAGAGGAUGAUCAGCCACAUUGGGACUGAGACACGGCCCAAACUCCUACGGGAGGCAGCAGUGGGGAAUCUUGCACAAUGGAGGAAACUCUGAUGCAGCGAUGCCGCGUGAGUGAAGAAGGCCCUUGGGUUGUAAAGCUCUUUCGUCGGGGAAGAAAAUGACUGUACCCGAAUAAGAAGGUCCGGCUAACUUCGUGCCAGCAGCCGCGGUAAUACGAAGGGACCUAGCGUAGUUCGGAAUUACUGGGCUUAAAGAGUUCGUAGGUGGUUGAAAAAGUUAGAGGUGAAAUCCCAGAGCUUAACUCCGGAACUGCCAUUAAAACUUUUCAGCUAGAGUACGAUAGAGGAAAGCGGAAUUUCUAGUGUAGAGGUGAAAUUCGUAGAUAUUAGAAAGAACACCAAUGCGAAGGCAGCUCUCUGGAUCAUUACUGA